UUUUUUUUUUGUUUGAACACUCCCAUGACCUUCUGGAUCUAUUAUUAAACCCUCAACUGAUUUUUAUCUCUGCCCCGCAAACACCGCAUUUCCUUUUUUCUACAGAAUCGGGGCGCGCCCCCCUCGCUCGCUCGCUCUCUGUUCCUGAGACCCUGCUCUCAUCUCCAAAUUCCUGCAGCCCGGCUUCCAAGGUGGAGCAGAGUCCCUGAGACCUGGCGGCGGGGACAGGGGGCGGCUGGGCGCCCCCGCCACCUGCACCCCGGAUUCCCACCACCUGGGGAGGGAGGGGACAUCAGACACCCCGGCUGCUUCCCCAGCCCUGGCUCCGCCGGGGCCCCAGCUCUCCUGGCUCACACCGGCCGCGUUAUUAUUUGUCUAGACACAAACCAAAUUACAGGCCGUGUCCCAAGGGAACAGUGGGCUUCCUGGGGAGGGUGGGGGGGUGCGGGUGUCAAACCCCGCUCCCCCGCACUCUUCUCUCUCCCCCCUCCUCUGAAGCUCCGCCCAUUCCACCCCCACCAACAGUCCCCACCCACCCACCACCCACCCACACACACCCCGCCCCCACCUCGGCAGCAAGGUUCCAGAAAUAUUUGCUCUGCACCCUCCCUUCUGGAUUCUCGCCAGGCACCCACCCCUCGCUCCCUGGCGGCCAAGCCCGAUCCCCCAAAGCAAGUCUAGGCAGCGGCAGCAAAGGAGGCCAGCACUCUGGAUUUGGGGUCCUGAAGCUCCCCUUCCCCAGGGCAGGGCGGUGUGGGGGGGGAGCCUGGCUCUCUGACUGGCAGUGUGCCUCGGUUUCCCCACCUGUCACCCGCUGGGGGGUGUGUGUGGCUUACGCAGCUCCCCCAGCCCAGCUGGAGCUCCAAGCUGAGAACAGCCAAGACUUCCAGGCUGGCGCUUCUGGACGGAAGGAGCACCCAGCUGCCUACAGGAUCUGGGGUUUCCAGUCCUGCCCGGUGCUCCGUCCAGUGGCCCCAAGAAGCCGUGCCUGUUCCAAGGACUUUGGAAAGACCUGGAAUACAGCCCCGAAAUGACAACUCCUAGGUUCACAAAUUCUCUAGAGUUUUUUUUUUUUUUUUUUCAUUAAAAACCACGAAGAGCGCCCAGUUCUUAAGGGAACCGUUAGAGCCGUGACGAAUCCCACCCUAUAGCUGGCCAGGACAGAUUCCCAUCACAGCACACCCACCUCACCCCAGAGGGAACUCCCUUCCUUCCUCCAGGCGGAGUGCCGGAGUGCGGAGCAUUCUAGAACUUCACAGAAAUGCAGUCCUGCAGCUCUUUUAAAAACAAACAGAAAGAGGUGGCUAUUAUUACAGUCACUUGCUGUGUGGUCUUGGACUGGUGACUUCACCUCCCUGAACCAGGCUGCAGGAGACAGGACGCGCGUGGGCGGACCAUGGAGCCACACCUGCAGCUCCUCCCAGGAGCCGUUCUGGGAGGUUAGAGUCCCGUUGUUUCUCAGGCUCCCCUUAAAUCUGCCAUACGGCUUUCUCAGGGUCCCAGUGGGACGCAGGUACCUGGGGGCAUUUAUGGAAGGGGCAGUUUAUAGAGGGGCGGGCUGGGCGGGGGAGCCCACGCAGUUGGGGACCCUGCGGUGAGGACACAGCCUCUACCACCACCCCUGCCCACCUGGGGCAGAAGGGACGGGAGGGAGGGCGCCGCCUGCCAGACUCCAGGGACACAGUCUGGGGAGGAGCCGUGGGGGCUGCAGCUCUGCAGGU
ensembl:lncRNA